rnacentral:rRNA from 1 species
CCUACGGGCGGCAGCAGUGAGGAAUAUUGGUCAAUGGACGCAAGUCUGAACCAGCCAUGCCGCGUGCAGGAAGACGGCUCUAUGAGUUGUAAACUGCUUUUGUCCGAGGGUAAAUCCCGAUACGUGUAUCGGGUUGAAAGUAUCGUACGAAUAAGGAUCGGCUAACUCCGUGCCAGCAGCCGCGGUAAUACGGAGGAUUCAAGCGUUAUCCGGAUUUAUUGGGUUUAAAGGGUGCGUAGGCGGUGCGGUAAGUUAGAGGUGAAAUCCCGGGGCUCAACUCCGGCAUGGCCUCUGAUACUGUCGGGCUAGAGUGCAGUUGCGGCAUGCGGAAUGUAUGGUGUAGCGGUGAAAUGCAUAGAUAUCAUACAGAACACCGAUUGCGAAGGCAGCGUACCAAGCUGCGACUGACGUUGAGGCACGAAAGCGUGGGGAGCAAACAGGAUUAGAUACCCCAGUAGUC